UGAAUCGUAAUCGUCGGGAUAGCUCAGCUGGUAGAGCAGAGG
rnacentral:tRNA from 1 species